rnacentral:rRNA from 1 species
GACGAACGCUGGCGGCGUGCUUAACACAUGCAAGUCGAACGGUAAGGCCCUUCGGGGUACGACGAGUGGCGAACGGGUGGAGUAACACGUGGGUGGAUCUGCCCUGCACUUCGGGAUAAGCCUGGGAAACUGGGUCUAAUACCGGAUAGGACCAUGGACUUCACGGUUUGUGGUGGAAAGCUUUGCGGUGUGGGAUGGGCCCGCGGCCUAUCAGCUUGUUGGUGGGGUAAUGGCCUACCAAGGCGACGACGGGUAGCCGGCCUGAGAGGGUGUCCGGCCACACUGGGACUGAGAUACGGCCCAGACUCCUACGGGAGGCAGCAGUGGGGAAUAUUGCACAAUGGGCGCAAGCCUGAUGCAGCGACGCCGCGUGAGGGAUGACGGCCUUC